UUUGAUUCCUGGCUCAGGACGAACGCUGGCGGCGCGCCUAACACAUGCAAGUCGAGCGGAGUUGGAAUUUCGGUUUWAACUUAGCGGCGGACGGGUGAGUAACGCGUGAGCAACCUGCCCUUCAGCGGGGGAUAGCGUCUGGAAACGGACGGUAAUACCGCAUAAUGUGCGGAGAAGACAUCUUCACUGCACCAAAGGAUUUAUCCACUGAAGGAUGGGCUCGCGUCCGAUUAGGUAGUUGGCGGGGUAACGGCCCACCAAGCCCGCGAUCGGUAGCCGGACUGAGAGGUUGAUCGGCCACAUUGGGACUGAGACACGGCCCAGACUCCUACGGGAGGCAGCAGUGGGGGAUAUUGCACAAUGGAGGAAACUCUGAUGCAGCGACGCCGCGUGAGGGAAGAAGGUCUUCGGAUUGUAAACCUCUGUCUUWARRRACRAAACAAAUGACGGUACCUAAAGAGGAAGCCACGGCUAACUACGUGCCAGCAGCCGCGGUAAUACGUAGGUGGCGAGCGUUGUCCGGAUUUACUGGGUGUAAAGGGCGCGUAGGCGGUGUUUCAAGUCGUCUGUAAAAUAGUGAGGCUUAACCUCAUUAAGCAGACGAAACUGGAAUGCUGGAGGCACAGAGAGGCAGACAGAAUUCCUGGUGUAGCGGUGAAAUGCGUAGAUAUCAGGAAGAAUACCGGUGGCGAAGGCGGUCUGCUGGGUGUGACCUGACGCUGAAGCGCGAAAGCCAGGGGUGCAAACGGGAUUAGAUACCCCGGUAGUCC
rnacentral:rRNA from 1 species